rnacentral:rRNA from 1 species
UACGAAGGGUGCAAACGUUGCUCGGAAUUAUUGGGCGUAAAGCGCACGUAGGCGGCUUGGCAAGUCGGAUGUGAAAUCCCUCGGCUCAACCAAGGAAGUGCAUCCGAAACUGCUGAGCUUGAGUACUUAAGAGGAUCGCGGAAUUCCCGGUGUAGAGGUGAAAUUCGUAGAUAUCGGGGAGGAACACCAGUGGCGAAGGCGGCGAUCUGGGGAAGAUACUGACGCUGAGGUGCGAAAAGCGUGGGGGAGCAAACAGG